rnacentral:lncRNA from 1 species
UUUGGAUCAAUUGAUCCAACAGCUAAAAGUUAGAAAUAAUCUAUGCCCAUCAAUGGAUGAAUGCAUAAGCAAAAUAUGAUAUAUCUAUACAAUGGAAUAUUACUCAGCCUUAUAAAGGAGGUUCUAACAUGCUACCACAUGGAAGAACCCUGAGUGCAUUGCAGGGAGGUAAAAUAUCUUUUCCUUCUUCCGUUGUGAGUUCUUGCUGGGGGAGCCUUCUAACAGCAGCAACAACUCAUUCAGGUUCCUCAGUGUCCCCGCCGAAAUCUCACAUCGAAUUGCAAGUCCCAUGUGUCAGGGGAGGGCCCUGGUGGGAGGUGGUUGGAUCAUGGGGGUGGGUUUCCCCCUUGCUGUUCUUGUGAUAGUGAGUGAGUUCUCCCCAAGAUCUGAUGGUUUAAAAGUGUGGCACUUCCCCCUUCACGCUCUCUCUCUUUUGCUUCGCUGUGAUAAGACGUGCUUGCUUCCCUUUUGCCUUCUGGCAUGAUUCUAAGUUUCCUGAGGCCUCCCCAGCCAUGUGGAGCUGUGAAUCAAUUAAACCUAUUUUCUUUAUAAAUUACCCAGUCUCAGGUAAUUCUUUGUAGCAGUGUGAGAACAGACUAACACAGGAGUUAAGACUGCCGCUUUCCUCCAAGUCUAGGAAAGCAGCUCCUGCCUGCAAGUCUUAUGACCUGCUUAAGGGGAAAGCCAGAAGGACCUUCCUGCACAUGCUGUUUCUCAAAUUCCCUCAGCUUAAAAAAUUCACUAUGUCAAGGUGCCACAUUUUGGGGUAGUGGAUCCUGAAAACCUUUAUUACAUUAAGUGAAUUAACCUUGUCACAAAAAGAAAAAUGCUGUAUGAUUCCACUCAUAUGAGGUACUUACCUAGAGUAGAUAACUCAUCGAGACAGAGAGGAGAAUGAUGGUUGCCAAGAGGCUAGGGAGAGGGCUGAGUGGGGAGUUAGUGUUUCAUGGGUACAGGAUUUCAGUUUUGCAAGCUGAGUAGUUCUGGAGAUGGAUGGCGGUGAUGGUUGCACAACAAUGUAAAUGUAUUUAAUACCACUCAACUGUACACUGUAGGAGGGGGAAAAUGUUUCCUUCCACCCUUUUAGGUUCUCAACUAGGGCCUCUCUAACAAAACACUAAUUAACAAGGGAAAAACAAAUAGAAGUUUAUGAACAUGUAUACUUCAUGAAUAUGUGGGGAAGACCCAGGGAAUGAGUAACCCACAGAGUGACUUAAAAUUCAGGCUUACCUGUCAUCUUCAGCUAAGAACAAGAAAGAAGUGUGUGAGGAAAGCUGGUUAUGGGGAGGUGACUGGGAAAGGUAUGGUAAACAAGAGCAAGGCUUGUUCUGCAGAUUUCAGUCCUUGCUUUCUCCAUUCAUAAGAGUCUCUUGCACUUUAGAGUCAUUCCUGUCUUCCUGGCACAGAGAGAGACACCCCUACGAUAGGAGAUCUCUUUAUUAAAUGUAAAUUUACCUAACCAAAGGGUAACUUGUACUCUGUUUUCAGAGCUUCUCCUGUACCUGCAGUUUCUCACGAUAAUCAGCUCACAAUAGUCCUUAUGCCAAAGAGGCAUGUGUGGAGGUGCCAUAUUCUGGUCUCCUACAACAUUCAGUAAUGGUCAAGAUGGUUGAUGCAGGAAACAGAUGGAGGGGCAGAAGUUGAUACUCAUCUCAUUAGAUCCAAAGAAGCCAAAUGGUGGCCAUCACCUGUGACAUGAAGAGGGUAUAUUUUAUGGAACUGGACAGCUUUCAGAAUCACAAGCAACCUCUUCAAAAUGUGAUCUACUGAAACGUGCUUGAAAGAGAGAAUAGGAGUGAGGCGGGCAAAGGAAGCAGAAGCCAUUGUGAACUGCCCUAGAGAAACCUUGGGCAUCUUUUUGUUGGGCAAAGUGGUAGAGGCUGAAACGGGGAAUAGCAUGUAACAUUUUAUUUGACUGAAAUAAACAGCUGUUUGUUUUUUUUUUCUUUCAUAUGUAAGAUAGACAAAAGGUGUUUGACAGAUAAGGAUUGGGGCAAUGUUGGUAUGAGUUCAGCUUUUUAGUUUGUUCUUUAAAAGUGGCCAUCAAGAUGUGGGUGUAAGGUAUUUCACAGUGAUUUGCAUUCAUUCUCAUUGCUGUCACCAUCAAGGCCCAGUUACUCAAUAUCCAAGUUUGUUUUUGUUGUAAUUCAAACAAAAUAAAUACAAGUAGCAGGGCUUUCCAUCCUUCCUGGGAAUAUUGUGUGGGUGCAUCUCAGUGAAUGCCAACUGCUUUCAAAUAAAAUGUGCCAUCUGAAGGAGCACAGUUUCCACUCCAGACCUGCAUGUACAAGACGCAAAACAAGGCACUAGCUGGCUUAGGGGAGUCAUGCCUGAGAGAACGAGUUGUAUAUAAAACUCUGCUGAGGCUGAAAAUAGCACAGAUAUGAAAGACAGAAGCAAAAGAUAUCGGGUGUCCUAAAGUGCCAGAUGCCCAGGUCACUUAAAAGUGGAUGACUCAGAGUCACACAGAGUAGCAGCAUGCUGGGAUCUUUGAGGAAAGCUGACCAACCACAGAGAAGGAAAGGCAAAGUGAUUCCGCAGAGAAUUGAACCAAAUACAAAUUUGCCUUUGUUUUUCAUCCCACAGAAUUUCCUCUUCACCCAUGAGGUUUA